rnacentral:rRNA from 1 species
GAUCAUAGCUCAGGAUGAACGCUAGCUACAGGCUUAACACAUGCAAGUCGAGGGGCAGCAUGAACUUAGCUUGCUAAAGUUUGAUGGCGACUGGCGCACGGGUGAGUAACACGUAUCCAACCUGCCGAUGACUCGGGGAUAGCCUUUCGAAAGAAGAUUAAUACCCGAUGGCAUAGUUCUUCCGCAUGGUAGAACUAUUAAAGAAUUUCGGUCAUCGAUGGGGAUGCGUUCCA